GUCCGUAACGGCCGUAAUAAUAUUAUUAUUAAAAUAUCUCUGGGUGCAGUGCGCACAUCCCGCGGUUUAUUAUUAAUUUUAACGAUUUAAUUUCCGCGCGAUUAUUAUUUUAUUCGCCGCGGCGACCCUUCUCAACUUGUACGACACAAUGUAAGCCGUCCCUCUGCUGCAGUAGCCCCGGCGGCGGACGUAUACAUUAAUCAAUUAUUAACGCACUUUACCACUGAUUUUAUCUUAGUCGGCAAUAUUCCGCGUAGUGCCCCGCCCUCAUCUCUAUACAAUACGUUUUGCCGUAUAUCAAGUUUUUACAUCAGCACUAAACGUUUUAUUAAGCGUAUAGAUGUG